ACCUCAGCCAUCCAUUGCGGUAAUUUUUUCGUCACCAGCUUUCUGCAAAUGAAUGCAUGACAAUUGGGCCCAACCAGGUGUGGAGCCGACAGGAAGAGACAGCCAGAACAGCUCGUUCGCGUGAACUUCCCAAGCGCGCGAGGGGAAGGGGUGAAAACCUAGAUCGGUCAGCACUCCCCAAUCGCAUGCCUCCUCUGCUCCUCGUCCAAUCCCCAACUCCUCCUCUCCUCCCCAAUCGCCGCCACCCCUCCUCCUUCCCCAAUCUGCGCUGUUUUCUCCCGCUCUCUAGCGGGAGCAGCGCACGACGGAGGCGGCUGCACGCGGCAGCGGCGGGGCGGCGAUGGCUGGACGCGGCAGCGGUCGUGGCAGGGGCGGCCGGGUGCUUAAGAGGAGGGAGCACGGCCCAUGAGGUGAAGCAUGGCCAGGAGGUAGCCGCCGCCGCCGCCUCGUGCCUCACAUCAGGAGGACCUCACAUAAGGAGGCAGCGCGGGUGCGGGCGCCGCCGUUGCAUAGAGCGCCAGGAGGACACGGUCGCCACCACUCACGGACGUCGACGUGCCAAGAGUGACAGGCCGUGGCCACCAAGUUCUUCUUCCUCUCCUGGCAUCCACAGGCAUCCCUGAGCCAGCCUGAUCGCCAUCAACCUCUCGAGAAUGGUUUUGUGAUCUUUGGCAUUAAUUAAAGAAAAUGCUAAAGCGUAUAGAAGAGUGGUACCUGUAAUCAUGGGAUGUUGUUGUUUAAGCUUGCUAGAAUGUUCAUGGCCCUGGGUUGAGAAGCAGCGCUCGUCACGGCGAGCAGGCUGAUUUCAAGACGCCAAGUUAGGGCCCAGGGUCGCGCAGCCUCCGCCUGGCGCUGAGCUCCGUCCAUGGAGCCGCUCGCCACAUUGUCGUCUUGUUGGUUGUCCGUCCUACCUCUCCGGUGGCCCGUUUCGAUUUCAUGUAGGGUGAUGCCGCAUACCUUCAGCUGCUCGCAAGUUCUCAAAUGUAAACUUGAGGGCUGGAAUGGGGAGAAGCGGGAGGAGGUCUGGCAUGACAGCAUGUAGAUGGGUGACACAUUUUGGUGCAAAUCGGACUUAUGGACAAAUUUAACUACAGCAACCGGCAAAUGAUGCAGCAUGAGGGUGAUUGUCUUCUUAGCGUAAGUAUUUUAUCAUAUCUCUAUCAAUGAUCUCCUCACAUACAAAUCAUACAGUAUACUGUUCUAUACUUUUUCCUACAGAAGUCAGACUAUUUGUUCUUCUUGGCAUAUACAUUUUGACUACAUGAACUGAGUUUCUGAUACAGUUGCCAUUUAGGUUGAACAAUUCAUACUUUGUUGCUCAAUUUGGGCUUGAUAUUAUGUAGGUCUUAAAUUAUUUCUUAGUAUGUAUGUUUUUGCUUGAAUAUUUAUCUGCGUUGUACAUUGCUUUUGAAGGCAAACUGAUGAUAUGUUGUUAAUUAUUAAAGCACCCAAAGUUCUAAUGUACCACGAGAUUUUGCAAGUUAGUAAUAUUGCAUUUCUAUGACAUUUUAACAAACAAAUUUUCAUCUGUAUAUUGGAUCUAUCUUGCUAUAAAUUGUUGUUAUUUCUUAACACAAUCUGUUCAGAUCUGAGGAAGAGAAGGAAGGCCCCAAGUUAAUUUAUAGAGAAUCAAAAAGGAAGAAGGCACAGGAAUAAGAGAACAAGGCGACUCUGGGUCGGCUCUCGUGGUGGCGCUGGGUGAAGGAGAUAAUGGGGCUGUUGUUGGGUGGAGGAGGGGGCUUGGGGUGUUGCCUAGAGCGCAGAUGAUGGGUUGCAGUAGUGCAAGCCAUGCCUUGUAAUAAUGAGCAAUCACCGUGUAGUCAAUUUUACAGGCGACGACAACAAGGUGAAUGAACAGUUUAUUGUUGACCGGAGGCUGCAAUCAAUGAGAAUAGAAUACUAUGUUUCAUUCAGGUUAUAGGUUGAGGCCACGGAAAGCAAGCACACCAGAAAACGUCCCAAGCCAUUUGGUUAAAUGUGCAGGAUACAGGAUCAGGUUAUGAUGGAUUCUGCAGCUUAUGUUUAUGUUAGCAAAAUGGGCAACAUCCAACGCUUCUUGCUAGCCGGUGAUUAUCUCAAACUUACAUGAUAAUAUGUUGAGGUUGAGGAAUCAAUACAUGGGCAAGAAAAAUUAUGAAGGGUAAUUAUUCUGAUUGAAGUAGAUUUCUGUGCAAAUGGUGAAUGCCCAAUUGAUAUUACGUGUACUUGAAAGUCAUAAGGAUUACAGUGGUGAAGGAGUUGACACCAUCGAAUGCGUCUGUUACUAUCCCAGCCAUGCAUAUUGCAAGCCUGGUGUUACCUUCUUGACGAAGUGCAGAAAAGCAAAACAAAAACAAUGUUAAAUAGCUAUUUGGAAUGCAAGGUAGCAGGCUAGAGAUUGUCGUGGGUUUGCCUGAAGGAUUAUCUGGUAAUGUCGACGAGAGGCUCCAAGAGACGAGGACGAACCUUCCUAAGGGAUUUACAGUUGACGACGGGGGCAAUAUUGUGGAUGCUAUGAACAUGGCGAUAGGAAAGAUCAGUGAUACAGCUUUGACAUGGAUUUGAGCAAAGAGAUGUGUCACAUGAAGGUGAUUCGGAGGAGGUACACUAGCAGCUACAGCUGGUUCCAACCCCUCCCCUGAUGUGGUGCUAUGGGAGCAAGAAAAAGAGCAGACUCAAGAGUUACCUAUAGUUGCUAAUUUCUAAAAUAAUCAGGCACAAUUGAGCAACCUAUGGACAGUCUUCAGUGUUAGAUAAGUCACUCGAUCUUCAAAAUUGGUGGCUUGAUGUAGGUUCUAUUUCCCAAUUUGAAUAAAUAAUCAUGGUGGUUCAAUGAUCUCAGAAAGCCACUGUAUAUCAUGUACUUAUCAGUUGCCCACCUUGACUCUCAUCUAUCUUCAAGAGAAUGACAUGGAUGAUCUAGAAGAUAUGCACCCUCAAGGAGAAUAGUAGGAUCAUUUAUUCUUGCCCCCUCCAAAUUUGUUGGUCAACAUAGAAACAGUAGUGGCUUUCUUCCCCAAAGAUCUGUAGCUCGUGGAAGCGGAAGAUGUGGCACAAGGAGCAGAUGAAAGAGAAAUAGGAAGAUGCCUGGUGCCUCCAAACAUUCUUGUUGCCUGACGGUGAGAACCGAGUUACAAACAAGCAUUGAUGUGAUAAGAAGCCUACUCCUACAGUGACGCGUUGAAGUGUGUCUUUAUUUGAUUUGUGAAACAAGCAGCGUAGUACUGGGUUAUAUUGAAUGCAACUAUCUAAUUCUUUUGAAGUUGGUGAAGGAACAUAAAGCUUCAUUAAAUCCAUUAAAGGUUGUCAGGUAUCUUCUACCUGUGCAAUGCAACAUAGUUUUUGGAAAUGGAGAUUCCCAGGUAAUAUUUCCUUUGCUCCUAGAAAUGGUGUUUAUGUAUUUUCUCUUUGCAAGAAGAUAUUGAAGCCCUAGAGGAGUGCAGCUUGCACGACUAAAUAAGGUUAAUAACCAGUUACUUAAGUUCCUGCUGCUUUGUUUCUUUGACUAAUAAACUUCCUCGCCAAUGUUUAUUCCAUUCAAAUGCAAGACACGUUUAAGACAUCUCACUUAAAAGGAAAAAUAACCAACAUUAAGUGUUCCAUCCUCUCUUGAUAGAGCAUUGAUGGUCAACAUAUCGUUUAAGGAAGAUGCAUAGGACUUGAUGCAAGUCUUAAUUCUAUUCUUGCACACUGCUUUCUACAAGCUGCUUUAGACCUCUUUUGAACUCCAACAAUAAUUGUUGAAUGAUUCAUAUGAAUGAUGUAGAUUAAAUUAUGUGCACCUCGUGGUACAACUCUUGAAGUCCCAAAUUCCUGAUGAGGCGGGCAGUAAUGCAGAUAUGUAUGCUACCUUCAGUAUUUCAGCUUGGUAUUGAUUUUUUGUUAGUGAAGAGUUCUUCCUUCCCCAUAGCUCUGAGUUAUUUUCACCUGCAGUUUAUCAUUCAGUUACAUGAUUAAUGAAAGCUCAGUUCUUGAUGCUCACUUUGUGGGACUUAAAAAGAUAGCAUGAUGGUAUGAAUCUAUAUUUGCAUUAUGUUCUCAAAACAAUAGCAUGAUAGUUACACUUAUACGAUAGUAUCGUUGUUAGGGUCUUGAAGAUAUUUACUUCUCUGUGGAUUCGUUUUUUCCCUCAUUUUAGCAGAGGUCAUAGCGACGAACCAGCGGCGACGGCUUAGGAGAAGAGAAGAGGAGCACACCAAAGAAGAGGGAGCAUGUAGUCCACAACCAACAAUCAUUGCAGACCCCUAACGGCAAUGCUAUGAUGCUGGAUUGAUGGGUGGGUCUAAGGGGUCGGAAGAGGAAGAGGAGUAUGUAGGAGAGGCGGAAGGAACCAUCAAAUAGAGGGCAGAAGGAGUAGCCAACGAAAGGCAAAGGGGCUGUCGAGGACAUUUUCUCCAAUGCACGCAGUCGGAUGAUGAUGGAGCUAAAUCUUAUGGUUUAAAUUAUUACUUGAUUCUUCCAUUUGCGCGAUAGCGCAACAGGUCAU